GGCUCGGUGGUCUAGGGGCGUAAUGCUCAUUUUGGGUGUGAGAGGUACUGGGUUCAAAUCCUGGCCAAGCCC